rnacentral:lncRNA from 1 species
UACAGAUUACAAAUAAACAAACCAGCAGGAAUUUUAGUGCCGCUUGCCUGGCGGCGUUUGUUUCUGAAGAAUUUUCGCAACUUUGUCAUGUGGGUCUCAUCAAUGCAACAUCCCUGCAGAUUGAGAGGGUAUUUUCUCCUCUAUUCUCUUUUCACGAUACAAACAAGAAAAUGAAUGAAUGAUAGGCAAGAGGUCUGGGCAGCCAUAACUGUUUCAGUUCCAUGAAUACAAGCACAUGGUACAUGCAAACCUACAACAUAAGUGUAGAGUUUCUCAUCACAAAGAAACAAAUAACAGAAAUAAACAUCACAGCCAUCUGUUGGCUUUUUGGUAUUGUGUGGCUCUCCCUUGUACCUACAGCUCAUUGUUGGAUAAAUUCUUUUUUGAAAAAAACACAGAGACAAAAUCAAAAAUAAAAUCUAUGCUACAAGAUACUGGACACAUGGAGUGAAAAGCUACACCCCAGCUCCUGCCAACAAAGAGAAACCUGUACUAAAGAAUGGGGAUCAUUCCAUAUCAUUUCAUAUCAUUUCAUGCCUAUUCACUUGAAAAAGUGUUACUGAUUGCUUGGGUGAUCCUUUGAGGACCUUCCCCUCAAAAUUAAUAUUAAGCCCUGUGGUGAGAUAUAAAAGCAUGCCAGAAUCCACAGAACAGAAAGUCUAUAAAGGCCCUUCUGCAUGUGCAGAUUGCACACUGCACAUGCUCAAGGGAAAAUGAGAUUUUUCAAUCAGAGGGAAAAAAACAGAAGAAGAAGAAGAAGAAGAAGAGAAAGUUUGCUUUAUUGAAAAAGAAAAAAGAAAAAGAAACCUGUGCUUAUGCAGUUGAGCCUUUUACAAAUAGAUAUAAAAGCUUCAUUGCAAUAAUAUAUGGGGAUUUGUGGAAGAGUUUGCAAUACGAGGUCAUAAAACUCUGCCAUUGUAUAUAUAUAUAUAUAUAUAUUUGUAAAAUUUUGAAAUUUUAUUAAAAAGACUAAUCUCUUCUUUUUAAUGUAAUAUAUAGAUAAAAAUAUCAUUGUAUACAAUUAUCUAAUAUUUUUUUGUAUUAUAUAGCCUAUUACAAAAGGAUUAUUAAUAAAUGAGCCAAAUUGAAACCAAUAUCACAUUAUGUACGUAUGAAAUAGGAUGGUUAGGACUUUGUAUAACCUUCUUUCUAUGUACUUUACUUUAAUAUUAUGUACCAAUAGACUUAUAUGUACUUAUAAAAUAUAUUUUCCUUUACUCUUUUUAUUUUCAAAUAAAUAUUAAUAUUCAAUUUCUUUGUUGCAUGAGUAUGUCCAAAAUUUUGAGCCCAAGAGUUUCUUAUGUCAAUCUUGAAUAAUUUUGUUAUCUAUCUAUCUAUAUAUAUAUAUAUAUAUAUAUAUAUAUAAUCAUGUGCUUAUUAAAUGAUAUUCGAAGAAUACUAUUCUACUCUUUGACUUAUUACAAAUAAAUUAUUAAAAAUGUUUUAUCAUUAGUAUAAAUAGAUUUCGACUAAAUCAUUAUUAUUAAAUAUACAUAAUAAAUUUUGUCUAGAUCUAUUAAAUCAUCAAAUUUGACUUCUUUAGGCUAUAAAACUAAGUUCAAGGAAUAACUUCUAAUAAUAUAUUUAAAAUUACAAAUAUAUAUAGCCUCUAAAUAUAGUUAUUAUUUUGUGAAAUAAUUUUCAUAAUAUAAUGAUACUGCAUUGGUAAUUGUGAUAUUUUUCAUAGAUCUUUAAUAUAAUAAUAAUAAUAAUAAUAUAAGAAGAAUUAUAGUAGAAACAACAAAGAACCAGAUUUCUUUUAAGAACCUUAAUUUUAACUUAUAUACAAAAUUUAAAGACUAAUAAUAUAAUUAUAAAAAAUCUAUUAAAGAUAUGUAAUGAGAUCUAAAAUAGUAAAAUAAAUAAGUUUUUGUACAUGUACUAGUAUUCAGAUGCAUUACUUUGGCCAAAAUACCUAGUAAUGAAAAUAAAACAAAAUUAAAUAUACAAGAUAUCAUUUUU